rfam:Thermovibrio ammonificans HB-1, complete genome.
GGGGGUGAACGGUUUCGACGGGGGUGCAGAGGUUCAGGUAGUGGCAGGCCGAGGCGCCAACCUCGUAAAAAAGGCACCCAAAAUAGUUGCCGACGAAACACUCGCUCUCGCCGCCUAACUAAACGCGGCGACGCCCCUCAGAGCUUCGCCCGUCGGCUCUGAGUAGGGCGACAGAGAGGCGGGCUCGGUAGCUCUGCCCGCCCUCGGCAGGGCUACGACACCCAAGAGGGCUGGCCUCGGGGCGCCUGCCCGUGGGCUAACCCCGAGGCGAGAGCUUAAAACACGGGCUAAGCCUGUAGAAGCUACCUGAGCCGCACCUCCGGACGCGGGUUCGAAUCCCGCCACCUCCACCA